UACGGAGGGAGCUAGCGUUGUUCGGAAUUACUGGGCGUAAAGGGCGCGCAGGCGGCUCAUUUUGUCAGGCGUGAAAGCCCCGGGCUUAACCUGGGAACUGCGUUUGAUACGGAUGGGCUAGAGUUCGGGAGAGGAGAGUGGAAUUCCCAGUGUAGAGGUGAAAUUCGUAGAUAUUCGCAAGAACACCAGUGGCGAAGGCGGCUCACUGGCCCGGUACUGACGCUGAGGUGCGAAAGCGUGGGGAGCAAACAGGG
rnacentral:rRNA from 1 species